UACGGAGGGUGCAAACGUUGCUCGGAAUCAUUGGGCGUAAAGCGCACGUAGGCGGCCCAGCAAGUCGGGUGUGAAAGCCCUCGGCUUAACCGAGGAAGUGCAUUCGAAACUACUGAGCUUGAAUACUGGAGAGGAUCGCGGAAUUCCCGGUGUAGAGGUGAAAUUCGUAGAUAUCGGGAGGAACACCAGUGGCGAAGGCGACUACCUGGCCUGUUCUUGACGCUGAGGCGCGAAAGCUAGGGGAGCAAACAGG
rnacentral:rRNA from 1 species